ACUGUGAUACUUAUUGCUUGACAACUGCACUAUGUAUGCCAUGAGAGCAACCUUUAGAAGAUUUAGCCGCUAAAUGGAUUCCAGAUGAGCCUGAUCAUCAUCAAAAGAAAAUCACUGAUAAAAGAAAAAUUAUAAUUCACAUCAAUAACUGUCUGAAGCGGAGCACCUUUAAAAAAAAAUGAUGCUGCCUCGCAUGAUUGUAGAACUUUGUCUUGAAUUUCAGCUUAUGAAACAGAAGCCCUUUCCCUGAAGGCAGCUACAAUAGAGGCUGAAAUGAGGAAAAUGGAAAUAUGGCUGACAACAUGACAUGGCCCCAUACCAUCAUGGAAGAUUUCAAAACCUUAGAUAGCAGAUCACAUGAGG
rnacentral:sRNA from 1 species